rnacentral:rRNA from 1 species
UACGUAGGGGGCAAGCGUUGUCCGGAAUCAUUGGGCGUAAAGCGCUUGUAGGCGGCUUGUUAAGUCCUGUGUGAAAGCCCUAGGCUUAACCUAGGAAGUGCGCAGGAAACUGGCGAGCUUGAGUGCCGGAGAGGGUCGCGGAAUUCCCGGUGUAGAGGUGAAAUUCGUAGAUAUCGGGAGGAACACCAGUGGCGAAGGCGGCGACCUGGACGGACACUGACGCUGAGACGGCGAAAAGCGUGGGGAGCAAACAGG